CAUAGCAGAACUAUAUAAAUAGAAACCAGGACAAAUGGGUUUCGCACAAACAAACAACACUGAGAUAGUAACGGUCUCCUUUUGGACACAAGGAAUGCUGUCGAUAAUCAGAAAAGUACUUCCACUACAGGAAAAACAUGUCUUUAAAUCUUGCGUGAUGUUUUUUUGACAUGUUUUGGUAAAAGACAUUCAUUAGGGUGUGUUCGGGUCAUAGAUUAUCAAUAGACUUCAAUAACUCGAUUAGUUUAUCAGAAAAAUCGAACCCUCACCUGUCAAACUGCAGGAUUUGUGCAAAACUUUUUGAGAAUUUACAAUUCUGGUAUUUAUUUGUGCGUCCACUACCAAAGUCACAGAUUAUCAAAGUAUUUAGUUAAUAAAAAAAGUGUGAUGCAUAUGUGCUAUUUUUCGGGAAAAAGAUGUUGCUUUUUCUGUGUGUGUUAGAGGAGGUGUCAGAGAUUAAACACACUCCUUCACACACACUCCCACACAAGGCAGCAGGGUGUUUUAUCUGGCCGUCGGGCCUCUAAGGGCGGGUCUGUGUGUUGAUGCAGCUGUGAGGCUCAUUGAGUUUUCUCUCUCCGAUGCUUAGAGAGUCUCACUGAGAAACAGAGAGAGAGCUGAAGGCUUCAGGUCACAGCAGUCAAGGGAGGACAAUCCCCGGAGUCCGAUGUCGUCACAGCGGGUGAAGGCAGAUGAAGGGGAGACAGACGCUGACUCUGAUGAUAUGUCAAUGUGAGGGGUCAAAGUGCAGCACUACCUCAUAUGUUUUGACUGGAACGUUUGAAACGAACAUAAAUAUCACAGCGGCAUCAUGGGUUUGUGCUGUUCUGAUAACGUACAGCACGUAUUGACGACCACCUCUCAUUCGAAAGGAUUGAUGUAAUCAAAAUGAUAGUGCAUAGUACAAAUACUGAAAGAGUGAGAAAAUGACAAAAUCUUUUGUUUUACAUGAACUCCUCUUGCACCAUAUAGCAAAAUGCUUAUAUUCCUUAUGGGUCGACGAUCAUAGCCUGACACUAAACGUGAUAUUUCUAUAGAGAGAUUUAGGCCUAUAAUGUCGCGCCAUAACAUGUCAAGCCAGUGCCACAGAGAUAAAAGAUGACAUCCUUCCUAAAUCAUUUCAGCUAGAAAUCAAAGCAUUGUAAUCCAAAGUAAACACGGAUAAUGUAUGGCGUGAUGCAUGCUCUUAUCUACAGAAAGCAGUUUCUUGUGACCGGUCUGUCCCCGUUAUAAGAUGCAUUCUCAGUAGGUGUCUAUUAGGAAUCGGUGGGCUUUAGAAUGUUUACCAACUUCCUGCUUUUCUCAGCGUUUCGAACACUUUAUGUUGACCCUUUCCUUAUCUCGUGCUGUAGGAUAACAUCUGGUCCCAACAGAUCUGAACAGGAAAUAUAUCUGAUUUCCCCCAUUCGUUGGUUCCCCCCGGUUUAAAACCCCCUCCUAAAAGAAGAAUUCCACAACAAUGAGGAAGUGAUGCACGUAUACGCAUCACUGGACAUUUAGUGAUAAAGUAAUAAUUUAACAAGACGCUCAGAAGAUGGAACAAACUUGUGUAAUCCAUGUCGUGCCAAAUACCUAGAAAUUUUCUAAAUCAUGUUUACCAUAACCAGACUAAAUGAAUCUUAAGGAAAAUUGUAUCAGCAACAAGUCACACAAAUCCAGACAACAUAGUCAACUGUUGUCUUUUAUUAUUGCAGGACAUCUAAUGUCAUCUGGACUAUCAUGACUGGUUAGCCUUUCAGAUGAAUCCAUCUUUCCAUCUCAAUGUUCUCACAUCAUUCCUCUGUUCCUUCCAGUCUAAAGCUGCAAGUUAUGAAUGCCAGACACGGGCUGUCACUCGAUGGCUAAGGGGAGUGAGACUGUGUGUUCAAAUAAUAUAGCGGACACAUAAUCCACAGCUAUACGUGACUUGGGGGGCAAUGGGUUUACUGCGAGGGUCAUAAAAGGGUGUUGAAUGAUGGGCUGAAUUCCAGACCUAACUUUCGGAAUUUGGUCGUAGGAGGAGAAAUGGAACUACGGUGGCUGACAGAGAACUAAAAUGUCAUUUUCGCUUCUUUGCUGAAGGAGAUAACGUAUUUACGAAACACGUUCUGUAGAGCAGUUUGUCCCUUUAUGGCCACUGUAGAAACAACAUGGAGAAUUCCAUGCAAGGGGACCCGCUGUGUUUGUAGAUGGAAAUAGUUCAUUCUAAGAUUAUAAAAAUAUAACGUCUUUAUACACCUCUGAAGACAUUUGUGUAUAUUAUAUUGCAUUCUUCUGACAAUAAAUCCUCCAAAUAUGACACACAGCAUGUUUUUAAAGAGAUUUAUCAAACUGUGUUCAAAUUGGCCAAGACACUAAAUUCUGCAUUGAAAAGUCCAAGAUUUCUCAUCAAUUCCUCUAAAUCAAGUUCAAUGUUAUAACUUUAUAAUCUUACUGUAUGCCAACAAAUGUCUUAUUCGUGACAAAAGAUGUUUGACGUGCACGUUUGUCAAAUGUUCCUAAAAUGAUUCUCAUGAGGAUUUUUAGGGAAAACUUUUGAGACAGCGUACAUAUUUUAAUUAAUUAAAAAUGACUAAGACUCACACAGACACGUAUGUGCAACCUCUGAGCAAUAACAUAUUUCUUUGGGUGAGCACAUACGUGACAAACAUUAUUUGUAUGUCAUUUGUAGACACAUAGACAAAACGUGCAUUUCAGAAACUGCGUAUAGCAUUAGAGUCGAGUUGCCAACACUGGAAACCGCACGUUCAUAUAUCUUCAUUUAUUGAAAGUACCUCCCAACAUGCCUGACUGAGCUCAUUCCAAAAGAGCCUGUGAAGAGGUGUUUCGGGAGACUGGGCGUGGACAAACUCGUAAUUCCCUGCCAUAUGACAGCGGUAUAGUUUAAGAAUAUUAGAGGAUCGUAAUGUUUUACUGCAGCUCUGAGAUUCGAGCAUGCUAUCAGUUAUCACAUGCAAAGUUUGCACCUGUUGGCUAAAACAUGCAUGACCACUCUCCACAACAAGUGCAUUCAGAAAUAUGUAGAAUUAAGCACGCUUGUACAUUUAGAUUACCAUUCAAGAUGUGCCUAUUAUUAGGGAAAACAUAUGUGUGUGUAUUUAAAUACAUAUAUACAAAGACCUCACAAACACUGUUACCUAUGAACACUAAAGAUCAGCAGCACUAUGACGAAAACAACGAUUACAGCAAUUGCUCUAUAGGCAUGUUGUUAAAACUCUUGAGACCAUUUUGAACAACAACUUACGAACUGAGACCACGUGAACGAGCAUCUGCCAAAAGAAUGUGGAAAACAUCUCUCUCUUCCAUUCUACCAUGAUGCAAUGCACACGAUUUCAUUUCCUGUUCUCUGCAACGCACCCAAGUCAAGCGUCACUUUAGCUCAAAUCUUAACAUGAUCCAACAUUCCAGUCUAUUGUAAUCAUAAAAUUGACUCUCUCUAUAUUAGCACUGACUUGACUACAUCCAAAUGGGGUAAAAGUGUUUUGGUAAAAGAAGCCGCAUUUAAUUAUUAAUAAUUAUGUCAUGAUAAUAUAAUUAAUUGCAUCAUUUAAUUUAUAUUAGUGUUAUUUUCAGCUCAUUGAAGCGACAAAAAUGUCUUGCCCUUACUUAACCUCAGCACAGGGCCUUGAAAGAAUAAUGUGCAUCAAUUUGUAUUAAAAGCUAAAUAUGUCGUGAGCAGUUUAAACAGGUGGGGUGGUCCUUUAAUGUAUAGGGUCCAGAGUGAACUCAAAACAUUUCCAUCACAGUCUAUGAAUGUUAUCUGAUCCAUUAGCCUGUUGUGAUUUUAUUGGGCAAAUGUCGCCCUCUGCUGCGAUAAAGAGGGAAUUACCCAUUACGAAACAAUCAUGUUUAACUACACUAAGCAUUUUAAAUUUGGCAUUGUAGUAAAACUUUAACCAAACCAUAACCAAUAAUAUGCUUACUAUACUUUAACUAUGUACAAAAAAACAAGGUUCGUUUUAUAAGGAUCGUACUGUAAGUAAUCCUAUAUCUGGCAAUAUCUAUUUUAAUAUAUUUAUUUUCAAUAAAAUUUGUAAAAUGCAGCUUGAACAAAGAUUGUAUUAUUUAUCAAAAAAACAAAACAAAUUUUUUAACUAUAUGAGUUUAAUUGUCACCCAUGUAGUAUGUAUACCAUGAGGGUGUGACGUGCCGCACUGUAGCAAAACCAGCGUCUUCCUCAGAAACGAGAAUCACCAGAACAUUCCAGAUCGAGGCAAGAUGAGUUAAAAGACAUCAUUUGAGGUUUAAUUUUAAAGAUGUGCUUUAUAUUUGAUGAUAUAUGUAGCUCAACGAGGCAUGGGAGAAAGCGGCUACCAUCGCGCGCGCGCAAGUUGAUUCACAAAAACUUCCGGUUUAAUCGUGCUGUAUAAUCUUGCUUGAUUUAUCAUGUUAUAAUCGCAUCAAUAUUAUUAUCAAACAGUCAUUUAUAGGUUCGCACACCUCUGUUUUUACGAAAACGUCGCAUUUCGUGUCACCCAACGAUUUAAAGCGGCCCGACACACAGGCGGGUGUCGCCCAAAGCAAACUUUUUUUGGUGAGCAAUACUUGUUAACCAGAGGCGGCAAAAUUUUGUCGAAAUUGCCCUGCGACAUGUGAUUCGGUCGAGUGUUUGUAAACAUGCGUCAAAAGCAUGUGAUUCUGCUGACGAAACACUGCGUUCUGGACCGCCGGCCAAUCAGAAAACGGGGGUGUGUGCGGAUGGGCGGGGCUGCGCUGUGGAAAAUUCUAUGCGCUCGGCAACAAGGUGCGUUAUAGACGAUUUAAAGAUGAUAAAAGGAGUUCGUCCACCGCACGCGCUCGUCAUGUGGUAGUGCACUCAACGAUACGGCUGUUCAGUGGAUCCAGGACGGACCGAGACCAUAACACCAUAAAGUUGUGAAUCUGCAGUUUAAAUCUUCUACGGCUGUCCAAACCAAACAAGCAGACGAAAGAGCGAUUCUGCUGUUGCAACAAGAUGAAAAUAGAGCGAGCGGGAGAGGGUGGAGGACCGGUGGAGAGAGAGAGCAAGAGAGAAAGGGAGAGAGAUUUUGGAUUAGUUGCUACGUCACUUUUUCACGUCGAGAGGAAAACAGCAGCUUGGAGGAGAGGAUUCGGACAUGUGCGAUUUCUCCUACCUGUUAAAGGCAGGGAUGAGGCAAACAUGCAGGCGGGAGAAAGCGAGAGGGGCAACCAGAUACCUCUAAACAGCAACCGUCGCCAUGCUCCUCUGCGCUCGGCUGGGAAACUCCCACGGGUGCUGUCCUAUCAGUCAGAUAAGAGCUAGCGAGCUCCUGGGGCAUGUUUCUUCCCUCUGUCAUAGAGCUCAAAGUAAACAAUAUCAAACUAAAGGUCGAACAAUAAUCGGUGAAGUGCAGUUCUCUGGAAAGCAGUCUUUAGGAAUGGAGUUGAAUGUAAUAUACAUGUUAAGGACAGUUGUGAUCACACAAAACGUUUGGCACUGAUGACCGGAUACACAGAGAACAAUGAUAUUUGUUUUAAUAUUUCUUAAUCUGUGUCUUGUCUUGUUUUUUGUUGUUGCCGUAAAAUCUUGUAAAGUUAAAUCAUGAAUGUGACAUUUGAUGCGUCUUCAUAGAUUUUUUUCCGGACCAACUUCAUUCAUGUGAGUGACCCUGGAUUGGUUCUUGUCUUGUGUAGCACUUUAAUUUUUUUAGUAAAAGACAAAAAAACAUUGUACGGGUUAAAAUUAUUGAUUUUUCUUUUGUGCCAAAGAUCAUUAGGAUAUUAUGUAAAGAUCUUUUGUAAAUUUCCUUAUUUAAAUAUAUAAAACUUUGUUUUUGUGAGUG